AAUUUAUAUAUUAACAUGAUUUUCCAAAGCAUUCUUCAUACAAAAUAACAUGUGAAUAAAGUAUUAAGAGGUAUAAAAAAAACUAAAGUGAUAUUAAAAAACAAAACAAAAAUCUAAAGAAAAAGAAGAAAAUAGAGGAGUCGGGGGUGCAGGCAUGUACUACAGGGUGCAUUGGAGAAUUCAUAAUGGGUUUUGAAGACACAAGUCUAAAACAUGUUGAAGCUUGGCUCAUUAGGGGGUGUAACACGUAAAAGGAGGGUGUAUGGCUCAAUUGUGUGGGCUUGAGGCCCACUGAGCCUAAGUGAGACAAAUGAGAGGGAGAGACGUUCGUUUUAAUUAGCUCGUUUCGUUCUCACUUCAUUCAAACACACGAACAAGCUUACAAGAAAUUUGCUGCGCUAGAAAUCGCCUCUGGCGGAGGAGGAGAUCCAAGCCUUAUAAACCAUACACUAAAAUACUCACAUCAGUUCGUCGUUCAACAAUCUGCAAGCCAGUUCCCCUGAUUUUUCACCAAAUUCUCAAACUGAAUCAAAAAUAGCAUGAACUCUAGGUUAUUGAAACGAAAAUUAAACACUAACUAGGAGGUAACCGGAGUCCAAACCCUGGGGGUUUGAUUCCACGAUCAAUAAACUACAUCGUGGCGAUCGAAAUUGUCCAAGAAGCGAAGAUAAGCCUACCUUCGAGGCGGAGAUGUGUCCUGAUGAUUGUUGAAAUCGAAGACAAGGAUGCAGAGGCAACAAUUCCAAUAAUUCCAAUAAUUCCAAUAGGGCCGGUGUAUGUGACAAGAUGACUUGGCAUUUGGAUCAUGAAGGUAUGGGCAAAGACUUGAACAUGAGCAAUACUUGGUGACUUGGAAAUCAAAGUGAAGAUGAAGAAAUGCAUAGGGUUUAGGGAUUAGAACUAGGUAGUUGACUUUGGUCAAUUAUUUGACUAAAAAGUCAACAGUUGACCAAGUCAAAUGUAGGUCAAUUUACUUUUUUUUAAGGAAUUUGUAAUUUCGCUCUUAUGUUAUGUAAAAUGGAUAUUCUUUUGGCAAUGAAAAGGCUUUUGUAUUGACUUA